UACGGAGGGUGCAAGCGUUGUCCGGAUUUAUUGGGUUUAAAGGGUGCGUAGGCGGCCUAUUAAGUCAGGGGUGAAAGACUACAGCUCAACUGUAGCAGUGCCUUUGAUACUGAUGGGCUUGAGUACAGAUGAGGCCGGCGGAAUGGGUGGUGUAGCGGUGAAAUGCAUGGAUACCAUCCAGAACACCGAUUGCGAAGGCAGCCGGCUAAACUGUAACUGACGCUGAGGCACGAAAGCGUGGGGAUCGAACAGG
rnacentral:rRNA from 1 species